rfam:Homo sapiens chromosome 6, GRCh38 reference primary assembly.
GCUGGGCAUGGUGGCGCGUGCCUGUAAUCCCAGCUACUUGGGAGGCUGAGGCAGGAUAAUUGCUUGAACCCGGAGGUGGGGGUUGCAGUGAGGCGAGAUGGCGCCACUGCACUCCAGCCUGGGCUACAGAGCAAGACUCUGUCUCAC